UUUUGCGCACGAGCCACUUCACGCCGAACCACUCGCGAGACAACAACGUUUCAGAUCGCAGCCUGAUUUCUGUAGCUAAACCUUUGUUGGAUGAAAUAGGAAGACAUUUCAACAUAAGAUAGAUACAUGCGAGAAUAAACAUUUGUUUAUCUCACAGUUCUUUUGUGUAUGUGUUGGGAGUUUAUUGUUUUGAACCUCCUCGAGGAGCAUUUCGCUAUACGUUACCGUGUUUUUCUUCAAACUCGAUCAUCUAACUGUUGGAUCAAGUCAUUUUGACGGUUUGAUCAUGAAGACCGAAGCCAGCCCUGGGCGCCUCCAUGAGGAUGUGAAGCUCAUCUUUGAUAAGAAAGCUCCUUCCGGCCGUAGCUCGUCUUGCUCCAGCAGUAGCAGCAGCAGUAGCGGCAGCUCAUACUCCAGCAGCAGAGGGAGCCGUUCCUCUCGCAGGUCAAGGACCUCCUCCUCCUCACGGAGCUCAUCUUCUGGCAGCAGCUCUUCCUCAAACUCAAGAUCCCGCUCCCGGCCACGCUGCUCAGGCCGUGUACACUGCCGCCACAGACACCGUUCUCCUCCACGCCGCUACCGUGCUCGAUCUCGCUCUUACAGUCCUUCUCCUGAGUCUUCCUCUCGCCGCAGACACUACUAUCGCCGCAGUCGUUCUCCAUACAGAUAUUCUAGACACUACAGGCGCUCUCCAUCCCGCUCCCGCAGCAGGUCUCCACCACACUGGAGGGGAAGUCGCUUCAUUGGGAGGUACCGGUGCAGAUUCUCCCAAUCACCCAGGAGGAGCCCCAGACCCUACAGAAGCCGCUCCCGCAGCCGCGAACGCUCCAUCCGUCUCAGCCUUGAAGAGAAGAAGUAUCUGCUGAAUGUGGCCAAGGCAAAUGCUGCCCGGAUUCUGGGAGUGCAGAACCUCGAGCUGCCAGAGAGCCUGAAGGAGAUGGAGCAGCAGGAGGAGAGAAAGAGGAGAUCUUCAUCAGAUGAAGAGGAAAGGGUGAGGGUUGACCUGGCACCGCAGAAAACACCAGCUCAGACAUGAAUGAUAUUUCCUGAUGGAUUUAAUGGAAUGAUCAACAGCUCAUGUCCGGAUUAGGUAACGGUAUACGUUAAAGAGUAUGUAAUACUGAGUGUGUGUGUAUGUGUGCGAAUGUAUGAACACAUUCCUCUCACUGAUUUGAGGAGUGACAUUUUAGCUUCAAUUGCUUUUGUUUGUUUUUUUUGUAUCGUUUCUGUUCCUGUAGAGCUGAAACUCCUCCACCCUUUGGACAUAGAGGGACAGAGGGGGAGGUCACAUGACUUGAUUGACACCAGCUUUAAGUCUUAAAUGCACAACUGCAAAGGAUAAGUAAUGGUGUAUGAUGUUAGAGGUAGCUUUAUGUCCAAUUAAAUCAGACUACAUGCAGUUGUGUAAUUUACCUUACAUAGAGCUGAGCCACUUUCAGCUACAACACAACUGCACAUAUAUGAACAUUUGGGGUCAGUAACAUUUUUAUUUUUACUGCUUUUAUUUAGCAAGGAUGGCAUUAGGUUGAGCAAAGAUUACAGUAAAAUGAUAAAAGAUUUCCUUUUGAUCUGUUCAUUUAACUUUGCUGAAAUUAUCACAGUGUCAAUUAAAGUAUUUGCGUCUUUACUGUAUUUCUUUGAUCAAAAUAAAUGCAGCAUUUGUUAGUCUAUGAGAUAUCAAGAAAAAUCUUGCUGCCUCAAGCGUUUGAAUUGUAGUGUACUCUGAUUAAUUAAAGCAUAGGAAAUUGUUUGUUUUGAUGGUUGAACUGGGUUGCAUUGUCAUUCCUCAGUGAGUCUUCCUCUGUUCAGCGUGCGUGAAGACCAGAGACAGCUCCGUCUACAGUGAUGGAUGGGGUUUGGAAAAAUAUACCGUCUCUUUUUGUCUGAUUAUUUUAGCUUUGUUCAAACAAACUGCAAAAAGCCAAAUUAUUAGAUUUUCUUUUCACAAAUGUAUAGCAUCAUGCACAGUUGAAUUAAAUUAAUCUUAGUACAAGAAAAAAAAGAUGGCAUCCGUGCUGUUUUUAAAAGCUAAUGACUAUACUUUGGAUGUUUUUAUUUUUAUUAUAUUUUGUUUCUGAGUUGACUCUUCCAUACAAUUGAACAACUAUAUUAGAUACUGCAUGAGUAAAUUCAUUACUUUAAAAUGGCUUGAGUGUCUUAAAGGUCUGAUUUAACAAGUUGGAAUUGAAUGCAGAGUAACCAAAGCCUCUGUCUAUAGAUUUUUAUAGUUUCUAAAGCUUUAUUAUAUUACUGAAAAUGUAAACUGAUAAAACCCAUGUGGUGUUACAGAUUAGAAGGGCAACUCUAGCAUUAUUAAAGUCCCUUCAGUUUACUACCAUUGCAUGACCUGAACCCAAUAGAUGAUGUAUUCUUUUAGAAGUGAAAAUCAUGUGAGGUUUACAUCAAAUGAACAGGGUUUUCACUAUUCUUGUUUCUCUUUUCUGUCUUAAGGUAAAUGGUGGUGGUGCUGCUGAUGAUGAGGCAGAGACUGCUCAGACAUCACCCAAGAGAAAGCAAAUUGUCUUCAGCAAUAAUAAUGCCAUCGCCAAACCAUCAAGCAGUCCAACACUCAGCGACAGUAAGGUAACAUCAAGAGCAGACAUCGUGCCGUACAAGAGGCCUUUUGGACAGUGGGUCCCCAUCGGCAAAUCCUCCUCUGCAAACAAACGCUGAGAUUCAGAAAGACUGUAAAUAGUGUAAAUAGUGUAAAUAGUUUCAAUUUCAGAGUUGUUUUUGUAAAUGGAUUGUGUUUUGUGACUACUUGGGUGGGGCUGGGUGGGUUUGGGAGCACCUGAAUUCAUCAUAAUUGUUUUCUUUCAGAUAUAAAGUGGGUUUAAUUGGAAGAAGGCAGAAGGAUGUCAAACAGGUGGGAGUUUUUGUGUAUUUGUGUUUUUCGUGAUGUACAGUGGAUGUUUAGAAAUACAGAAUGCAAAAAAAAAAUAAAGUCUUUGUAUUUCUUCCCCUUCC